UAUAAAACUAGUCGUGACUGAAAGACUGUCUCAAAAAAAUUGCUUUCAUGAUGAAAAAUUGUGACACUGUCACAAUAUAUAUUUAUAAAUAACAUUUACUCAUAACAUUUAUGGAGUGAAAAGGUAAAUGGUGCAUGAGAGCUUUACUCUUUUGUUUUGCAAAAUGAACAAAAUUUUCUUUCAUGUCGCUCCUGAUUCUGAAGAAAAAAAGAGACCUGAAACAGCACCUGAGAGGAAAAAAAGCAUUUGAUUCCAUCCUACACAAACACCCUUCUAUUUUUUUAUGAACAUCAGCUUGCACUGUAUGUCAAUAACAAGCUACAACAUAUCUUCCUGAAAUUCUUAAUAGAGAAUUUAUUAUGGAAGAAUUCAUUCUGACCACAACAUGCAUCACAAAAUAACACCAUCCACUAUUUCAAAGACAUGCGGGAAAAAUCAAAGUACAUGUGACUUCUUCCUCUCAAGCCACAUGCAAAAAAACCUCAAGUCACCAAGGACUUGCCCAUUAAUUCAGGAGUCUACGUGUUGUCUGACCAUCCUUUCUGGGACAAAUCCAAUUAUGAAGGUUUAUCAGAAGGGAAUGCCAAAAUCCCUGAUUUGGUGGCUCUUAAUCUUCAGGCAUCACCUCUUGUGUUUAAGGGCACUUCUACGCAGCAGGUAGAGAGCCGCGCAGUGUCUGCCUAUGCUAAUCCCAAAGCCAGAUGUAACGGGAGGGUGAUACAACACAUUCCGAGGCAGGAUAGGGCCAGAAGCAACAGAUAAUUUUGUGAGUGAACAGAAUAUUUGGUGAAUGACUGUACGAUCAAUGGCUCCCUUGACAAUAGCUCUGCUAAUGGAGACAGAAGCAUCCUGGUAUUCCCUCUCUCCAGGAUAAACUUGUCUUCACAGCUCUGCCAGAGGAAGCGACUGUGCGAGGACUCCCCCAUUUGCUUCAAUCAAAUUCACAUAUAUGAUCGUGAAUAGACAGAGAAGAUGAUCUAAAUGAACCUGGCUGAUUUCUCAAAGGAGAAAAUACAUCACCACUGCCUUGGUGGUUUGAAGGCUGCACAUGGGACAUGCAAAAGCGCAUCUCCACGGCUCCUCACAAUGACUCUGUGACAACCCUCAAAACACUGAACUGUUUUCCUGAACUCGAAUGUUACCUUCAGCAUCAUCAUAAUAUUCUUUUGUGUUUGUUGUUUUGUUGGUGUUUUUUAAUUGGCUUUUUGUAUAGGCUGAAAAGAUUCCCUUUCAGGGGAAUUAAACAAUUAUAACCAUU